GGGGGUGUAGCUCAGCUGGGAGAGCACCUGCCUUGCAAGCAGGGGGUCAGCGGUUCGAUUCCGCUCAUCUCCACCA
rnacentral:tRNA from 21 species